rnacentral:tRNA from 1 species
GGUGGUUCAGUGGUAGAGUGCUUGCCUUGCAUGCAUGAAGCCCUGGGUUCAAUUCCUCAGCACCA